CCUACGGGGGGCUGCAGUGAGGAAUAUUGGUCAAUGGACGAGAGUCUGAACCAGCCAAGUAGCGUGAAGGAUGACUGCCCUAUGGGUUGUAAACUUCUUUUAUAUGGGAAUAAAACGUUCCACGUGUGGGAUUUUGUAUGUACCAUAUGAAUAAGGAUCAGCUAACUCCGUGCCAGCAGCCGCGGUAAUACGGAGGAUCCGAGCGUUAUCCGGAUUUAUUGGGUUUAAAGGGAGCGUAGGUGGAUUGUUAAGUCAGUUGUGAAAGUUUGCGGCUCAACCGUAAAAUUGCAGUUGAAACUGGCAGUCUUGAGUACAGUAGAGGUAGGCGGAAUUCGUGGUGUAGCGGUGAAAUGCUUAGAUAUCACGAAGAACUCCGAUUGCGAAGGCAGUUCACUGGACUGCAACUGACACUGAGGCUCGAAAGUGUGGGUAUCAAACAGGAUUAGAUACCCGAGUAGUC
rnacentral:rRNA from 1 species